AGUGGGGAAUAUUGGACAAUGGGCGAAAGCCUGAUCCAGCCAUGCCGCGUGAGUGAUGAAGGCCUUAGGGUUGUAAAGCUCUUUCACCGAUGAAGAUAAUGACGGUAGUCGGAGAAGAAGCCCCGGCUAACUUCGUGCCAGCAGCCGCGGUAAUACGAAGGGGGCUAGCGUUGUUCGGAUUUACUGGGCGUAAAGCGCACGUAGGCGGAUCGUUAAGUCGGGGGUGAAAUCCUGGAGCUCAACUCCAGAACUGCCUUCGAUACUGGCGAUCUUGAGUCCGGAAGAGGUGAGUGGAACUCCUAGUGUAGAGGUGGAAUUCGUAGAUAUUAGGAAGAACACCAGUGGCGAAGGCGGCUCACUGGUCCGGUACUGACGCUGAGGUGCGAAAGCGUGGGGAGCAAA
rnacentral:rRNA from 1 species